rnacentral:rRNA from 1 species
AACGAACGCUGGCGGCAUGCCUAACACAUGCAAGUCGAACGAGACCUUCGGGUCUAGUGGCGCACGGGUGCGUAACGCGUGGGAACCUGCCCUUAGGUUCGGAAUAACUCCCCGAAAGGGGUGCUAAUACCGGAUAAUGUCUUCGGACCAAAGAUUUAUCGCCUUUGGAUGGGCCCGCGUUGGAUUAGCUAGUUGGUAGGGUAAAAGCCUACCAAGGCGACGAUCCAUAGCUGGUCUGAGAGGAUGAUCAGCCACACUGGGACUGAGACACGGCCCAGACUCUUACGGGAGGCAGCAGUGGGGAAUAUUGGACAAUGGGCGAAAGCCUGAUCCAGCAAUGCCGCGUGAGUGAUGAAGGCCUUAGGGUUGUAAAGCUCUUUUACCCGGGAUGAUAAUGACAGUACCGGGAGAAUAAGCGCCGGCUAACUACGUG